AUGCUAAUAAUAAUAUUUGCAUGGCAAACUGAACGAGGGAAAUUCAGUUGGAUGGAGACCUGACGUCAACUUCAAGUUGCGAUGAGUGAAAUAAUUAGAACGGUUUUUUUGCGGGGAUGCGGAUAUGUAAAAUGGAAAUUAAUUGGAUUGGAUAAUUGGUUGGUGACUUGUUUACCCAAAAUAAGAGUAAUCAAUUUGACUGACUAGAAGGAUUUAAAUUUCACCUAUAAAGAAUUGAUAAAUGUACUUAUGUCUUGUCGUUAAAAGUAAUUGUGUACGUAAUUUGUGUAAUAUUCAGAGAAGUCACCAUACUUACCCUCCCAGUUUUCAAACCAAUAUUCUUUCCAAGCCAUCAAAUUGCUUAAUUUUCGUAUUAUAAUUACACAGAAGAGUGGUCACACUCAAUAUCGAUAUUCUACAAAACGCAUUCAGACAGUCCGUAAACAUUUGCCAUGACAGUGUAAUAUGCACUCGCAAUAUUUUUUUGUUCUCAAUGAUAUAAGUAAAAAGUCCAAGAAAAGUAAAAUAAAAGAAGAAAAAAAAAUUCCGAAACGGACGAGACAAUAACAAAACAUUUAAGAGAAAACUCAAUGGCAAAAACAUCAUCACGUGUGUCUAGUAUAACGAAAACACCGCGUCUAGACUAUAUCCAAAAACUGGUUUAAACUGGCCUAUUUGAAAGUGUUUUUGAAACCAAUGACCACUGCAUUGCUUUCGAAAUGUUCUCUCAUCGUUAAAUAAUGAUACUUGGUUCAAGUUCCAAAAUAAAAAAAAAAAUUGAAUCAUUUUCUUUAAAAAGAAAAAUUAAUUAGAAAAAUAGUAUGUGUGUUCAAUCAAGAUGUUAGACUACCUUCUCGAUCACACCUACACACACUGAUAAAGUUCAAUCUGCGUAAAAUAUUUUCCAUUUAUAUAAUAGACAUUUAUUGGCCAGACCAAAUAGACGAUUCAUGUGAUGUUUCAGCGGCUAAAGCGAAGCAAAAAUUAAUAAUUUAUUAAAUACUACACACGUAUAUACGUUCGUAUAUUCGUACAAAUUAUAAAAAUGCUUUCUUCAGCGUCAGGCGCACAGGAGAUGAGAAAAAAGCAUUCACAGUGCUUCCCACGCUUUUAACUGAGCUUUCUCCUCAAAAAACAAUCAUUAUCUUCCUCUGUCUCUCGUUUUUUAUAUUCUGCAAUUGCAGUGCUUUGUUAUGCUAUCCAGCCAGUUCAACAGUGUAAAUCUUAUAAAUUUGUACCCAACUAAUAAGCUGGAAACCAAUUAAGAUGGUAGUCCCACAACGUGCAGCCGGCGGGAGUGAACCUGGGCAGCCUCGGAAAGAGGGACACCUUCUCGAUGGAAACGGGAAAAUCUACAGAUGCCCCAUUUGCCACAAGCCCCCGGUGGAGAAAGUGGUCACCAACUGUGGCCAUCUGUUUUGCCUGGGAUGUCUGACCAACGUCUUGCAAGCAGGCCCUUGGUGCCCCCGUUGCCAGACAGAAGUGUACAGAGUGCAACGUGUAUUUACCUAAUUCUAAGGUAUCGUUUUUGUUGCACUCGGUUCAAACAUUUGUUAUGGUUUUGUCACCGAUAUUAAAUGCCACAAUCGCCAA